GGGGUCUUGGUCUAGGGGUAUGAUUUUCGCUUCGCAUCGUCCAAACAUAUGUGUAUGUGAAAGGUCGUGGGUUCAAUUCCCACAGGCUCCA